UUUAUGGAAACAACUGUGUUCUUUUUUUUCUUUUCUGUUUUCAUUUGUGGGUGCUAUCAAGGCCUAAAUUUGUUGGAAUUCUUGUAGAAUUCGUGUUUGCAGAAUAUGUGAGCCUUACCCCAACAACAGAAAUCUCUCUCACUGUGGAUCUCAACUCUGCACUCCAGGUGUUUGUAAAAAGGUCCCAAUGAGUGUUGCAAGGUUGGUGGUCAGUUACCAUCAAAGGUCAAGUUAAGUAAUCUCAACAUUUCCCUGAAUUUUGGACUCUAUUAAUAAUUUAAUGAAAUGGUAAUGUGUGCAAGUGGAUUUCAUGUACUAAUUAAUUCCUACUUAGAAUUCAAAUUAGCUACAUAUUAGUUUUCAAGAGCACUACUUUGAAAGGGAAACACUUAGAUAGCUAUGAGCAAUUUCUUUGCAUCAAAUGAUUAUUAGCUUACAUGUUAGAUAGCUUUGAUGUGAGUAAUGAUAAGUUUUAUAAUAGUGGAAAAGGCAACAGAGGGAUUUCUUAUUCUUCUUUGUUGUAUGUAUGUUAGCACAUUGUUAUGAAUUCUGGUCAUAGAUUGGUGAAUAUGCUGCUACUGGUAGAUAAUCGUGGUUGUAUUUAAAUGGUUAAUCAUUGGGCUUAAUUAACUUAGUCCCUUUUGAAUAUGAAACUAGCACAUACCUAUUUUCUCCACUGUAUUGAAAAGAGAAUUACAUUCCAGAUAGUAUAAGAAUAGAUGGGUUGUUGGUACAUUUUUUGGAUGCCUUGGCUUGCUUGAGUACCAGCAUGUUGGUUAAUGAUUAGAUACAUUAUACUUGUUAGUUACACAUAAUUCUUUACAUAGCAUAUGCUGCUUGAAUGCUUUUCUCUAUUUCUACAAUGAUGCCUUGUGAUUUUUUAUGUGAAGGACAUCAGGGUUUCAGAGAAUUCAGUCACAGAUACAGGCAAAGGUGGCAUUCCUAUAUUUAUGUUGAUUGCACGUACAUUUGACAAAAGUGAAAAUCCUUAACGGGGGUAACGUCAGGAUUCGUGAGCCUAAAGGAUCUGAAAUCAGAAAGCACAAUCUGAGGAAGGUGCUUCUGCGAAAUUUAUAACUUGAAUUGUGUGCACCAAAUAUAUGAAUUGUUGGGCUUAGUUCAUCAUCGGGAAGUUUAUAUUUUGCUGGUUUGCCCUUGUUUUUAGAAACUUUGAAUUUACAAGAACUUGUAGCACAUAUUUGAAUAAAAACUUACUAGUACUUGUAUUAUAGUGAAUAGCAUGCCGAAUCUUGGGUUAU